rnacentral:rRNA from 1 species
AACGAACGCUGGCGGCAUGCCUAACACAUGCAAGUCGAACGAGACCUUCGGGUCUAGUGGCGCACGGGUGCGUAACGCGUGGGAACCUGCCCUUAGGUUCGGAAUAACUCCCCGAAAGGGGUGCUAAUACCGGAUAAUGUCUUCGGACCAAAGAUUUAUCGCCUUUGGAUGUGCCCGCGUUGGAUUAGCUAGUUGGUAGGGUAAAAGCCUACCAAGGCGACGAUCCAUAGCUGGUCUGAGAGGAUGAUCAGCCACACUGGGACUGAGACACGGCCCAGACUCCUACGGGAGGCAGCAGUGGGGAAUAUUGGACAAGGGGCGAAAGCCUGAUCCAGCAAUGCCGCGUGAGGGAUGAAGGCCUUAGGGUUGUAAAGCUCUUUUACCCGGGAUGAUAAUGACAGUACCGGGAGAAGAAGCUCCGGCUAACUCCGUG